rnacentral:rRNA from 1 species
CAGUCGCCGCGGGAAUACGUAGGGUGCGAGCGUUAAUCGGAAUUACUGGGCGUAAAGCGUGCGCAGGCGGUUAUAUAAGACAGAUGUGAAAUCCCCGGGCUCAACCUGGGACCUGCAUUUGUGACUGUAUAGCUAGAGUACGGUAGAGGGGGAUGGAAUUCCGCGUGUAGCAGUGAAAUGCGUAGAUAUGCGGAGGAACACCGAUGGCGAAGGCAAUCCCCUGGACCUGUACUGACGCUCAUGCACGAAAGCGUGGGGAGCAAACAGGAUUAGAUACCCCAGUAGUCCCUGUCUCUUAUAA